rnacentral:RNase_P_RNA from 2 species
GAGGAAAGUCCGUGCACCACAGAGCAAGGAUGCUUGAUAACGUCAAGUAGGAGUGAUCUUCAGGCAAGUGCAACAGAAAGUAUACCGCCAGAUAUCUGGUAAGGUUGGAAUGGCGAGGUAAGAGCUCACCAGCUAUCUAGUGAUAGAUAGGCUAUGUAAACCCCAUCCGGUGCAAGAACGAAAGGGACAGUAGGAUGCCUGCUCGGCACAGUCCAGUAUGGUUGUUCGCUUGAGCUUAUUGGCGACAGUAAGCCUAGACAGAUGAUUAUCCAAGACAGAACACGGCUUA